UGGGGAAUAUUGCACAAUGGGGGAAACCCUGAUGCAGCGACGCCGCGUGAACGAAGAAGGUAUUCGUAUCGUAAAGUUCUGUCCUAUGGGAAGAUAAUGACAGUACCAUAGAAGAAAGCUCCGGCUAAAUACGUGCCAGCAGCCGGGUAAUACGUAUGGAGCGAGCGUUGUCCGGAAUUAUUGGGCGUAAAGGGUACGCAGGCGGUUUAAUAAGUCGAAUGUUAAAGAUCGGGGCUCAGCCCCGCAAAGCAUUGGAAACUGAUAAACUUGAGUAGUGGAGAGGAAAGUGGAAUUCCUAGUGUAGUGGUGAAAUACGUAGAUAUUAGGAGGAAUACCAGUAGCGAAGGCGACUUUCUGGACACAAACUGACGCUGAGGUACGAAAGCGUGGGGAGCAAACAGG
rnacentral:rRNA from 1 species